rnacentral:rRNA from 1 species
AGUGAACGCUGGCGGUAGGCUUAACACAUGCAAGUCGAACGGCAACACAGUUGCAGCUUGCUGUUAUGGGGUGCGAGAGGCGGGCGGGAGAGGAGUACAUCGGGAUCUACAUUUCCGUGGGGGCUAACGUAGGGAAACUUACGCUAAUACCGGAUAAUACCUACGGGCGAAAUCAGGAGAGCUUUGGAGCUUGCGGGUGUGCACGAGGCGAUGUCGGAUUAGCUAGUUGUCGGGGUAAAGGCCCACCAAGGCGGCGAUCCGUAUCUGGUCUGGUAGGAUGGUCAGCGACAUUGGAAGGUAGACACGGUCCAGACUCCUGCGGGAGGCAGCAGUGGGGAACAUGGGACAAUGGGCGCAAGUAUGGUCCAGUGAUACCGCGUGGGUGAAGAAGGCCUUGGGUUUGUAAAGCCCUUCUGUUGGGUAAGAAAAGCAGCAGGUUAAUACCCCGCUGUUCUGACGGUACCCGAAGAAUAAGCACCGGCUAACUUCGUG